rnacentral:rRNA from 1 species
AUGGCGGCGAUGGAUCCAGAAUGCACCAUCUACAGAGACUUCGCCGCGGAAGUGCUGGCGAACAUCCUGACGCGCCUCCCGCCCAACACCCGCCGCCGGCUCCGCCUGGUCUGCCGGCACUGGCGCGACGUCGUCGGCACGCGCACGGCCACGAACCUGCGGAGCAGGGCCAAGACACUCGUCGCCGCCUGGGGCUCCACGUACGUCUUCGGCGACCUAUCGGCCUCCAGAAAACCACUGUGGGCGGACCACCGCACGUCACGCCGCUACGAGGGCAUGAGCGUCGUCGGAACCUGCAACGGCCUCGUCUGCCUCUACGACGACCGGGAGAUCGGCGACACCAUCGUCGUGGCCAACCCUGUCACCGGCGAGGCGCUGAGCGUCCCGCCGCUGCCACUGACGCGUGCCGUCGACCGAAGCCGGCGCCACAUUAGAACCUGGCGCUGGGCCUACAGCUUCGCGUACCUCCCGACCUCAGGGCGGUACAAGGUCGUGCACGUCCCGUCCCCCAUCGGCCAGUUUGUGUCCGACGCGGUGCACGUGUUCAUGCUCGGCGAGGCGUCGUGGGGGGCUGUGCCGGCCGGCCGCGCCGCGAGGUGUAACGACCUGGACUACAGCGUCGUCAGUGUCGACGGCGUGACAUACUGGAGCACGCCGGAGGGCGCCGAAAAGGUCUUUUCGUUCGAGCUCGAGCACGAGCGCGUCACGCCCAUUACAUCACUACCUUACGUGCUGUCCGACUCCGAAAACGGCGGCGGCUGGCAGCUAGCGGAGGUGCACGGGAGGCUGGCCAUCGUCUUCAGCCACGCCUCGCCGGAGAUGAGCACGACGCAGGUCUGGGUAAUGGAGGGAGCGACGGGGCAGGUCAGCUGGAGCCUCUGGUACAUCGUUCAGAUGAGCACCCCGUCGGACCGACCGGGGAAGCCGCCGAACAAAAAGAUUAAAGAACUCACGUGGCCACUAUUCGUUCACGGCGAGCACAUCCUGACAUGGGAGACGGAGUGGCCGAUACACCGAGGUUAUUCGUUGUGCAUGCACACACCCAUCCACGACACGAGGAAAGCGAAGCACGGCAUGUUGGAUAUCAGCAAGAGGAAUCGGGGGAUGGUGGCCACCAACUUCAAGAUCUCGAUCGGCGGCGAGACGUUCGCUUACGUCGAGACCGAGGAACCGGUAAGGAGGUGUUUGGUUCAGGAAAAGAAACGGAAACGCAAACACAAUCAAUUAGCACCGUUAGUGUAA